rnacentral:lncRNA from 1 species
CCGAUGGAGACCAGGACAACAACACAAGCCAAACAAUAGCGCAAAAGAAGAGGUUACAAAUAUUUACAAAGUGUGACCACUGCCUCUACAUCAUUGCCAACAAAAUUGUCAUAUGCACUAACCUGGACCCAGUUCAGCCCAGCCAAUGAUGUCAACACCCUCAAAAAGACCCUCCAAAGACACCCGUGAGGAAGAGGCUGCAGACCCCACGAUACAAGCUAUAGGCCUGGAACAAGUUUAAGCUCGUCUUCAGACUCUUGACAGUGAAGAUGUAGCAUGACAAGAGUCAAGCAUGGCAAGAGUCAAAGUCCCGUGUGGCUCAGUUGGUAGAGCAUGGCGUUUGCAACGCCAGGGUUGUGGGUUUGAUUCCCACGGG